UUAAAUUGAAGAGUUUGAUCAUGGCUCAGAUUGAACGCUGGCGGCAGGCCUAACACAUGCAAGUCGAACGGUAACAGGAAACAGCUUGCUGUUUCGCUGACGAGUGGCGGACGGGUGAGUAAUGUCUGGGAAACUGCCUGAUGGAGGGGGAUAACUACUGGAAACGGUAGCUAAUACCGCAUAACGUCGCAAGACCAAAGAGGGGGACCUUCGGGCCUCUUGCCAUCGGAUGUGCCCAGAUGGGAUUAGCUUGUUGGUGGGGUAACGGCUCACCAAGGCGACGAUCCCUAGCUGGUCUGAGAGGAUGACCAGCCACACUGGAACUGAGACACGGUCCAGACUCCUACGGGAGGCAGCAGUGGGGAAUAUUGCACAAUGGGCGCAAGCCUGAUGCAGUCAUGCCGCGUGUAUGAAGAAGGCCUUCGGGUUGUAAAGUACUUUCAGCGGGGAGGAAGGGAGUAAAGUUAAUACCUUUGCUCAUUGACGUUACCCGCAGAAGAAGCACCGGCUAACUCCGUGCCAGCAGCCGCGGUAAUACGGAGGGUGCAAGCGUUAAUCGGAAUUACUGGGCGUAAAGCGCACGCAGGCGGUUUGUUAAGUCAGAUGUGAAAUCCCCGGGCUCAACCUGGGAACUGCAUCUGAUACUGGCAAGCUUGAGUCUCGUAGAGGGGGGUAGAAUUCCAGGUGUAGCGGUGAAAUGCGUAGAGAUCUGGAGGAAUACCGGUGGCGAAGGCGGCCCCCUGGACGAAGACUGACGCUCAGGUGCGAAAGCGUGGGGAGCAAACAGGAUUAGAUACCCUGGUAGUCCACGCCGUAAACGAUGUCGACUUGGAGGUUGUGCCCUUGAGGCGUGGCUUCCGGAGCUAACGCGUUAAGUCGACCGCCUGGGGAGUACGGCCGCAAGGUUAAAACUCAAAUGAAUUGACGGGGGCCCGCACAAGCGGUGGAGCAUGUGGUUUAAUUCGAUGCAACGCGAAGAACCUUACCUGGUCUUGACAUCCACGGAAGUUUUCAGAGAUGAGAAUGUGCCUUCGGGAACCGUGAGACAGGUGCUGCAUGGCUGUCGUCAGCUCGUGUUGUGAAAUGUUGGGUUAAGUCCCGCAACGAGCGCAACCCUUAUCCUUUGUUGCCAGCGGUCCGGCCGGGAACUCAAAGGAGACUGCCAGUGAUAAACUGGAGGAAGGUGGGGAUGACGUCAAGUCAUCAUGGCCCUUACGACCAGGGCUACACACGUGCUACAAUGGCGCAUACAAAGAGAAGCGACCUCGCGAGAGCAAGCGGACCUCAUAAAGUGCGUCGUAGUCCGGAUUGGAGUCUGCAACUCGACUCCAUGAAGUCGGAAUCGCUAGUAAUCGUGGAUCAGAAUGCCACGGUGAAUACGUUCCCGGGCCUUGUACACACCGCCCGUCACACCAUGGGAGUGGGUUGCAAAAGAAGUAGGUAGCUUAACCUUCGGGAGGGCGCUUACCACUUUGUGAUUCAUGACUGGGGUGAAGUCGUAACAAGGUAACCGUAGGGGAACCUGCGGUUGGAUCACCUCCUUACCUUAAAGAA
rnacentral:rRNA from 1 species